GACGAACGCUGGCGGCGUGCUUAACACAUGCAAGUCGAACGGCAAGGCCCUGCUUUUGUGGGGUGCUCGAGUGGCGAACGGGUGAGUAACACGUGAGUAACCUGCCCUUGACUUUGGGAUAACUUCAGGAAACUGGGGCUAAUACCGGAUAGGAGCUCCUGCUGCAUGGAGGGGGUUGGAAAGUUUCGGCGGUUGGGGAUGGACUCGCGGCUUAUCAGCUUGUUGGUGGGGUAGUGGCUGACCAAGGCUUUGACGGGUAGCCGGCCUGAGAGGGUGACCGGCCACAUUGGUACUGAGAUACGGCCCAGACGGCUACGGGAGGCAGAAGUGGGGAGUAUUGCACAGUGGGCGCACGCCUGAUGCAGCAACGCCGCGUGCGUGAUGACGGUCUUCGGGUUGUAAACCGCUGUCGCCUGUGACGAAGCGUGAGUGACGGUAAUGGGUAAAGAAGCACCGGCUAACUACGUG
rnacentral:rRNA from 1 species